rnacentral:rRNA from 1 species
AUUGAACGCUGGCGGCAGGCCUAACACAUGCAAGUCGAGCGGAUGAAGGGAGCUUGCUCCCGGAUUCAGCGGCGGACGGGUGAGUAAUGCCUAGGAAUCUGCCUGGUAGUGGGGGAUAACGUCCGGAAACGGGCGCUAAUACCGCAUACGUCCUGAGGGAGAAAGUGGGGGAUCUUCGGACCUCACGCUAUCAGAUGAGCCUAGGUCGGAUUAGCUAGUUGGUGGGGUAAAGGCCUACCAAGGCGACGAUCCGUAACUGGUCUGAGAGGAUGAUCAGUCACACUGGAACUGAGACACGGUCCAGACUCCUACGGGAGGCAGCAGUGGGGAAUAUUGGACAAUGGGCGAAAGCCUGAUCAAGACAUGCCGCGUGUGUGAAGAAGGUCUUCGGAUUGUAAAGCACUUUAAGUUGGGAGGAAGGGCAGUAAGUUAAUACCUUGCUGUUUUGACGUUACCAACAGAAUAAGCACCGGCUAACUUCGUG